AGGCUUACACAAUGAAGCGCUCACUCAAUUUUCUCAGUUGAUGUUGAGCUGUGAAUCUCUUCACUCCAACUUUUUAUACGAAGAGGAAAUUUGUAAAGAAAAUGACUUAUUCAAAAAGUACAUCCGGUCUGGUCUUUAUUUGAGCUGGUGCCUUUUCCACGUGGCUGACUACACGCUUUGCGAUUCGCUGCUUGAGCAUCUCAUUAAAAAAGGACUUACUCGUGACUUACACCAGUCAGAAACCGAAUUUUUAAAUAAAGAAAAGGAAAAUCUUUUUUCAAUUAAUACGCAUGCGCAGCUUCUUUCGUUGAGGGGAAGAUUAAACCUUUUUUACGGAGAUUUAACUGCUGCAGAGACCUUUUUUUCUGAAGCUGGUUUGCUGUCGACUGACCAAUCGACCUCAGAAAUGUGCAUUACCAAUCAGUUUCUCUUAAAAAUCGCUAACGAUGAUUUCUUUGGAGCUGAAAAGUGUCUUCGGGAAUUAUUGGCCUUUCAAACUGAUUUUCUGAAGUCUUCUGCGGAUCCUCAAGAAGCUGCAUGUUUAUUUACGCGCACAAUACCAACUUUAUCUAAUCUGGCGGUUUGUG